rnacentral:rRNA from 1 species
GGCCUUGUACACACCGCCGUCACACCAUGGGAGUGGGUUGCAAAAGAAGUAGGUAGCUUAACCUUCGGGAGGGCGCUUACCACUUUGUGAUUCAUGACUGGGGUGAAGUCGUAACAAGGUAACCGUAGGGGAACCUGCGGUUGGAUCACCUCCUU